rnacentral:rRNA from 1 species
UACGUAGGGGGCAAGCGUUGUCCGGAUUUAUUGGGCGUAAAGCGCGUGUAGGUGGCCAAGUAGGUCCGCUGUGAAAACUUGAGGCUCAACCUCAAGCUGUCGGUGGAAACCCCUUGGCUAGAGUCCGGAAGACGGAGAGUGGAAUUCCUGGUGUAGCGGUGAAAUGCGCAGAUAUCAGGAAGAACACCAAUGGCGAAGGCAGCUC